rfam:Stegodyphus mimosarum contig171456, whole genome shotgun sequence.
GCCUUCGUGGUGUAAUGGUUAGCUUACUCUGCGCGUAUUCGAGAGGCCCAGGUUCGAGUCCCGGCGAGGGCA